rnacentral:rRNA from 1 species
CGAAGCAACGCGAAGAACCUUACCUGGCCUUGACAUGCUGAGAACUUUCCAGAGAUGGAUUGGUGCCUUCGGGAACUCAGACACAGGUGCUGCAUGGCUGUCGUCAGCUCGUGUCGUGAGAUGUUGGGUUAAGUCCCGUAACGAGCGCAACCCUUGUCCUUAUUUACCAGCACGUUAUGGUGGGCACUCUAAGGAGACUGCCGGUGACAAACCGGAGGAAGGUGGGGAUGACGUCAAGUCAUCAUCGGCCCUUACGGCCAGGGCUACACACGUGCUACAAUGGUCGGUACAGAGGGUUGCCAAGCCGCGAGGUGGAGCUAAUCUCAACAAAACCGAUCGUAGUCCGGAUCGCAGUCUGCAACUCGACUGCGUAAAGUCGGAAUCGCUAGUAAUCGUGAAUCAGAAUGUCACGGUGAAUGCGUUCCCGGGCCUU